AGUGAACGCUGGCGGUAGACCUAACACAUGCAAGUCGAACGGCAGCACAGUAAGAGCUUGCUCUUACGGGUGGCGAGUGGCGGACGGGUGAGGAAUACAUCGGAAUCUACUUUUUCGUGGGGGAUAACGUAGGGAAACUUACGCUAAUACCGCAUACGACCUACGGGUGAAAGCAGGGGAUCUUCGGACCUUGCGCGAUUGAAUGAGCCGAUGUCGGAUUAGCUAGUUGGCGGGGUAAAGGCCCACCAAGGCGACGAUCCGUAGCUGGUCUGAGAGGAUGAUCAGCCACAAUGGAAAUGAGAAACGGUCCAGACUCCUAAGGGAGGCAGCAGUGGGGAAUAUUGGAAAAUGGGCGGAAGCCUGAUCCAGCCAUACCGCGUGGGUGAAGAAGGCCUUCGGGUUGUAAAGCCCUUUUGUUGGGAAAGAAAAGCAGCAGGUUAAUACCCCGCUGUUCUGACGGUACCCAAAGAAUAAGCACCGGCUAACUUCGUG
rnacentral:rRNA from 1 species